GGUUAGGAAUUGUAUAAUAAUAAUUAAUAGGAAACACUAGACUUUUAUUCAAAUACCAACACACAUAACGAUUACAUAAUUUAGAAAAUUACAACCACAAAAGUAUUUAAUUAGCAUAGUGUCAUAGAUGACACAAUAUAUAUAUACUUUGUGGUCAAAAUUAAUGCUUCUUGUUAAGCUUUUGGUAGAGCAAUAUUAUUAUCAUUGUCAUUAAUACAAUAGUUCUCAUUGCAACUUGUCAUGCACCUUCCAAACUUUUCAUGAUCUGCAAAAUUAAUUAACGAGUAAUUAGGAGUAAGCAGCUAGCAUGUGUUGAAAUAAUAAAAACAUGUUAAAAUCCGACUAGUGUUAGGUACGUUACAUACCAUAUUUAUUGAUGAGAAAUUUGUAACAAUGGCCAAGAAAACAUCCAACAUUACAAACGCGAGUUUGAAUUUCUACGUUAUCAGUAGCACUAAGAGUAAGUGAUGGAUGUAUAGCACAAUAGGCACCACACCCAACCUGACAUGGAAGGCUAAUAAAGCAAUCACGAUCAUGAAUACACAGUGUAAAUAGUCUCCAACAAUCUCAGCAUUAAUAUUCUUCGAUCGUAAACAAAAGCAUUGCAAGGAACAAAACAAAUACAACUUUUAAUGCCAUAUAUAAUAUUAAUUAUUUUAUAUUAUAUGAUACUUGUUAUUUG
rnacentral:lncRNA from 1 species